UGUUAUUUUAAUGGACAAAAAAUUUGCUUUUCUUUCAAAACAAGGACAAACAGUUUUUGAACGGUAGUGUAUAUUGUUCCUGAUAUUUGGAGUGUUGGUAAUAUGACACAGGUGAUUUUGGAGCGUUGGUAAUAUGACACAGGUGACUUUGGAGCGUUGGUAAUAUGACACAGGUGACUUUGGAGCGUUGGUAAUAUGACACAGGUGACUUUGGAGCGUUGGUAAUAUGACACAGGUGACUUUGGAGCGUUGGUAAUAUGACACAGGUGUAUAAAGAAUGCACAGUAGAGAGCACAUUCUCCAGGAAUAUCCAGCAAUAUUGGUCAUUGACAAUAUAUGACCAGGAACAAGAGUACAUCCUCCUGUGACAAUUAACCUGUUUCUGCAAACCAACUCUAGAUUGAAUCCAUGACAGUUCUGCUUUUAGUAAAGGUAUAUUUCCUCAAUGUUUCUGAAGAAUGAUUUACAUUGGUGUUGGUAUUUAAUUAUGUUGAGGGGAUCUUUCCUAAAUAUCUGUACAAGAUGCAGAUUUUUAUUUUCAGAACAAAAUGUUCAAUUUUACAUUUAGUUAUUUAAAUAAAAAAUGUUAUUUUUGUUGAAUGAUUAUAGAGUAAAAAACAUUUUAAAUGGUUGUAAACAAGUCAUGUUUCCAGAAAGUUAAAAAAA